UUUUGGAAGCAAAUAAAGCAGAAAAAAAUUUAUUUGAAUUUUCUUUGGUUUAAAGUCACAGAGUGGCAAAUAACAUGAUUAUACAAAUAAUGUGAUUUUUCAAGGUGUUUAUUACUAGGGGAUUCCAAUCAAGGCUUACUCUUUGUUUUCAAUAUCAAAAUGAUAAAUAUUUUGCCUUUUACAAAAUAAUUAUUUUAUCACUCAAGGGCUGGUAUCUGUAGAUAAACUUUUGCUUCAGCACACUCUUCUGACAUGAAAAGCACUCAUAAAUCACAAUUUAAACUGCAAUUUCACAUCCUCUCAGAAACCACUCUAACAGAGGCAUGGCAAGUCAUUUAGGUAGUUGGCAGAGCAAAGCCUGUCAGUACACUUACACUGCAGGCAUGUAACCUGUUCUCCCUUCCUCCAUCUGCUGCAUCAAUUUGGGGUUGGGUAGGCAUUAUGCAAAACAAUAGCUUCUGCCAUUUCAGAAAUAUGUAGAAUUCCCCUUUAGCUUGCAGCCUUUUCUAUCCCUUCAUAUUGUACCAAGAUUUUGACAUCACGCACAUGAGUGCUUUACUGAAUCUGAAGGAAAAGGAGCUAAAAUGUAACAGGAGGUAUGGUAUUGCCAGGAGCGUGGUAGACAGUGAGAAGACCAUAGGCAGAUGGUCUGUUAAAUGCUUGUCCUUUGCAAGGGUGGGGAAUAUCACUCACAGAAUAAAAACCAUGGCCUUGGGCCACCCCCAUAGCUAGGUAAAUCUGCAUGGUAGAGGAGCACUGCCUUUCCAAGGUCAGACAUGACUGUUUCCCAGACAGAGGCUGGGAACACUCAUCCUGGAGGAACCUGCAGGACUGAACCAACCUUCCCCACUGUAGGUAGAGCCAAGCAGUGGAGCAGGGUGUUGAAGCAUCAACAGGACCAGUCUUGGUCCAGUGGAGACUGCAAGGAACAGCAGAGCUUCAGCCUUCUGCAAAACCAGCUGCAGAGAGGGAGAGAGACUCUGCUUUCUUCCAAGUACAGUGCCACCUUUCUUGGAAGUGGUUUUCCUUGAUUUCUGCAGCUAAUGGAAUAAUUUACCUUCCUAGUUACUUUGAUGAGUCUCUUUCUGUCUCCCAGUGAGCGAGGCACCUGUAUGAGGGUUAUUGGCAUCCAGACACUUUAUUAUACUCUCUCACAAGUAAUGGGUUUGAUUUUCAUGUUCAUUAAGGUUGCUCAACACCUGGUGAAAUGCUGCUUUUAGGACUCUCUAGUCUCCCAGGUUGGUGUGAAAGGGGUUUUGGCACAAGUAAGAAUAAAGGCCAGUACUAUCAUUACUUGCUGUUCA
rnacentral:lncRNA from 1 species